rnacentral:rRNA from 1 species
AUUGAACGCUGGCGGCAUGCUUUACACAUGCAAGUCGAACGGUAACAGGCCUUCGGGUGCUGACGAGUGGCGAAUGGGUGAGUAAUGCAUCGGAACGUACCCAGAGGUGGGGGAUAACGCAGCGAAAGCUGUGCUAAUACCGCAUGUGAUCUGAGGAUGAAAGCGGGGGACCGAGCAGCAAUGUUUGGCCUCGCGCCUUUGGAGCGGCCGAUGUCGGAUUAGCUAGUUGGUGGGGUAAAGGCCUACCAAGGCGACGAUCCGUAGCUGGUCUGAGAGGACGACCAGCCACACUGGGACUGAGACACGGCCCAGACUCCUACGGGAGGCAGCAGUGGGGAAUUUUGGACAAUGGGCGCAAGCCUGAUCCAGCAAUGCCGCGUGCGGGAAGAAGGCCUUCGGGUUGUAAACCGCUUUUGGCAGGAACGAAACGGUGUCCGCUAAUACCGGGCGCUAAUGACGGUACCUGCAGAAUAAGCACCGGCUAACUACGUG